rnacentral:rRNA from 1 species
UACGUAGGGUGCAAGCGUUGUCCGGAAUUAUUGGGCGUAAAGAGCUUGUAGGCGGUUUGUCGCGUCUGCUGUGAAAUUUCGGGGCUCAACCCCGAACUUGCAGUGGGUACAGGCAGACUAGAGUGUGGUAGGGGAGACUGGAAUUCCUGGUGUAGCGGUGAAAUGCGCAGAUAUCGGGAGGAACACCGGUGGCGAAGGCGGUUCUCUGGGCCAUAACUGACGCUGAGAAGCGAAAGCAUGGGGAGCGAACAGG